UCCGUAGGCGGGCGUCUAAGUCAGUGGUGAAAUCUUACAGCUCAACUGUAAAAUUGCCAUUGAUACUGGAUGUCUUGAAUUAGUGUGAAGUGGUUAGAAUGUGUAGUGUAGCGGUGAAAUGCAUAGAUAUUACACAGAAUACCAAUUGCGAAGGCAGAUCACUAACACUAUAUUGACGCUGAGGGACGAAAGCGUGGGGAGCGAACAGGAUUAGGUACCCUGGUAGUCC
rnacentral:rRNA from 1 species